UAAGUAAUAAUAUUGUUUAUCUUUUUUAAUUAUACUUAUUUUAUAGAAAUAUCUUUUUUAUUAGUAAACUUUAUUGAAAUUUUUAUUUAUAACUAUAGUUUAUAUAUUACUGUGAAGGAAAUUUUUAUUUUAAUUUUAAGCAGACUUUUUUUGUUGUACCUUUUGUAUCAGGGUUUAUUAAAUUUAAGUUAAUUAUAUUAAUUUUCCCGAAAUUAAAAGAGAUAAAUUUUAAUGAUAGUUUACGUUUUAUAGUAAUUAUUAAUUUUAAUAUAGGGGUUAUAUGCUAUUCAAUUUUAAAUAUCUGGUUAUUUAAUAAAUUAAUUUAAUUAAUACCAUUAAAUUAUGUUGAUUUAUAAUUAUAUUUUACUCAAUUUUAAUGGUUAAAAUUAUAGGGGAUAAGCUCUAUUAAUUGUUUUAUAAUCAAUUUUUUUAUUAAAGGAUUUGUAGGCUUGACAACAGCUAUCAUUUAUUUCGUUAUAGUUAGUUCUUUAUUUAUAUUCAUUUUAUUUUGAUUUAAAUUUUUAUUAAAUCUUUUUAUUUAUUUAUUUAUUAUUAGUGAUAAUGAUAGAAUUAGUAGUUUGGUAAAUUUAAAUAUAGUAAUUCGGCAAAUUUAAUUCUCGCCUGUUUAACAAAAACAUGUCCUAUAGAUUUAACUAAUUUUAGGUUUGACCUGCCCAGUGAAUUUUAAAUGGCCGCAGUAUUCUGACUGUGCGAAGGUAGCAUAAUCAUUUGUCUUUUAAUUGAAGGCUUGUAUGAAUGGUUGGACGAGGAAUUGACUUUCUUUAUUUAAAUUUAAUGAAUUUGAUUUUUUAGUUAAAAAGCUUAAAUUUUUAUGCAAGACGAGAAGACCCUAUAGAAUUUUAUUAUAAAUUGUGUAUUAUAUUUUUUGUUUAUUAUUAGUUUAAUGUAUAAUUUAUAAUUUUGUUGGGGCGACAGUGAAAAUUACUUAACUUUCAUUUAUUUUAUUUCAUUUAUAUAUGUAAUUUUUGAUCCUUUAUUAAUGAUUAUAAGAUUAAAUUACCUUAGGGAUAACAGCGUAAUUUUUUUGGAGAGUUCUUAUCGAUAAAUAAAGUUUGCGACCUCGAUGUUGGAUUAAAGUAAGUCUUGGGUGCAGCAGCUCAUAUGACUAAGUCUGUUCGACUUUUAUAUCUUUACAUGAUCUGAGUUCAGACCGGCGUGAGCCAGGUUGGUUUCUAUCUGCAUUUUUGUUUGUUAUAAUUUAGUACGAAAGGACCAUUUAUAAGUAAUAUUUAUAUAAAUUUUGAUUAAUAUU
rnacentral:rRNA from 1 species